rnacentral:lncRNA from 1 species
AGGGGUUCCGCUGUUUCUCUCUCUAGAGCUCGCCUCUCAAUCGCUGGCAGGUGAGGAGUUCUUUUCUCUCUCUAGCUCUUCCAAACUAACCGUCACCUGCUCACAGCGGGGGAGGCUCCGCGGUAACCACACCUGGAGCAGAUCCGCUCUCAUCCGUCGGUCCGCAGGCAUCUCAGCCGUCCAGAAUGCAACGUGUCGUAUCAUCAUGCGAUCUUACCUCUGGGGGAGAGAAUCUCAGCCGUCCGUCAUCUCGAACAGGUGUCGUCAUUCGAUUUUCGCGCCUGCCGUGAACACGAUAUACUCAUAUAAACCCAUAAAUAUCAUUUUUGUAAAUAUACCCUUAUAUUUGAGGGUAUAUUCACACUAAAAACAUGCUAAAAACAUUUUUUCGGGUUUUCUGAAAACUUAGAAGGGAUUUCUAUAAGCAGCCUUCUUUUUAUCAUAGCCCCCCAUCUCUAAAGUGCUAUUGACGCGAUUUUUUGAGGGUCUAUUUGCUGGAAUCUCUCUCUCUCUCUCUCUCUCUCUCUCUCUCUCUCUCUCUCUCGCUCUCGCUCUCUCUCUCUCCCCCUAUUAAAAUGGCGUCAUGCUGUGGGUGAAAAUAUCUCUAGUGGCCAGCAGAAGUUUCCUCAGGCCAAUGGGCGGCUUCGUUUGCCGCGUGGCGAGCAAGGGGCAU